rnacentral:rRNA from 1 species
UUAAGCGACUAAGCGUACACGGUGGAUGCCCUGGCAGUCAGAGGCGAUGAAGGACGUGCUAAUCUGCGAUAAGCGUCGGUAAGGUGAUAUGAACCGUUAUAACCGGCGAUUUCCGAAUGGGGAAACCCAGUGUGUUUCGACACACUAUCAUUAACUGAAUCCAUAGGUUAAUGAGGCGAACCGGGGGAACUGAAACAUCUAAGUACCCCGAGGAAAAGAAAUCAACCGAGAUUCCCCCAGUAGCGGCGAGCGAACGGGGAGGAGCCCAGAGCCUGAAUCAGUGUGUGUGUUAGUGGAAGCGUCUGGAAAGGCGCGCGAUACAGGGUGACAGCCCCGUACACAAAAAUGCACAUGCUGUGAGCUCGAUGAGUAGGGCGGGACACGUGGUAUCCUGUCUGAAUAUGGGGGGACCAUCCUCCAAGGCUAAAUACUCCUGACUGACCGAUAGUGAACCAGUACCGUGAGGGAAAGGCGAAAAGAACCCCGGCGAGGGGAGUGAAAAAGAACCUGAAACCGUGUACGUACAAGCAGUGGGAGCACGCUUCGGCGUGUGACUGCGUACCUUUUGUAUAAUGGGUCAGCGACUUAUAUUCUGUAGCAAGGUUAACCGAAUAGGGGAGCCGAAGGGAAACCGAGUCUUAACUGGGCGUUAAGUUGCAGGGUAUAGACCCGAAACCCGGUGAUCUAGCCAUGGGCAGGUUGAAGGUUGGGUAACACUAACUGGAGGACCGAACCGACUAAUGUUGAAAAAUUAGCGGAUGACUUGUGGCUGGGGGUGAAAGGCCAAUCAAACCGGGAGAUAGCUGGUUCUCCCCGAAAGCUAUUUAGGUAGCGCCUCGUGAAUUCAUCUCCGGGGGUAGAGCACUGUUUCGGCAAGGGGGUCAUCCCGACUUACCAACCCGAUGCAAACUGCGAAUACCGGAGAAUGUUAUCACGGGAGACACACGGCGGGUGCUAACGUCCGUCGUGAAGAGGGAAACAACCCAGACCGCCAGCUAAGGUCCCAAAGUCAUGGUUAAGUGGGAAACGAUGUGGGAAGGCCCAGACAGCCAGGAUGUUGGCUUAGAAGCAGCCAUCAUUUAAAGAAAGCGUAAUAGCUCACUGGUCGAGUCGGCCUGCGCGGAAGAUGUAACGGGGCUAAACCAUGCACCGAAGCUGCGGCAGCGACGCUGAUGCGUUGUUGGGUAGGGGAGCGUUCUGUAAGCCUGUGAAGGUGUGCUGUGAGGCAUGCUGGAGGUAUCAGAAGUGCGAAUGCUGACAUAAGUAACGAUAAAGCGGGUGAAAAGCCCGCUCGCCGGAAGACCAAGGGUUCCUGUCCAACGUUAAUCGGGGCAGGGUGAGUCGACCCCUAAGGCGAGGCCGAAAGGCGUAGUCGAUGGGAAACAGGUUAAUAUUCCUGUACUUGGUGUUACUGCGAAGGGGGGACGGAGAAGGCUAUGUUGGCCGGGCGACGGUUGUCCCGGUUUAAGCGUGUAGGCUGGUUUUCCAGGCAAAUCCGGAAAAUCAAGGCUGAGGCGUGAUGACGAGGCACUACGGUGCUGAAGCAACAAAUGCCCUGCUUCCAGGAAAAGCCUCUAAGCAUCAGGUAACAUCAAAUCGUACCCCAAACCGACACAGGUGGUCAGGUAGAGAAUACCAAGGCGCUUGAGAGAACUCGGGUGAAGGAACUAGGCAAAAUGGUGCCGUAACUUCGGGAGAAGGCACGCUGAUAUGUAGGUGAAGUCCCUUGCGGAUGGAGCUGAAAUCAGUCGAAGAUACCAGCUGGCUGCAACUGUUUAUUAAAAACACAGCACUGUGCAAACACGAAAGUGGACGUAUACGGUGUGACGCCUGCCCGGUGCCGGAAGGUUAAUUGAUGGGGUUAGCGGUAACGCGAAGCUCUUGAUCGAAGCCCCGGUAAACGGCGGCCGUAACUAUAACGGUCCUAAGGUAGCGAAAUUCCUUGUCGGGUAAGUUCCGACCUGCACGAAUGGCGUAAUGAUGGCCAGGCUGUCUCCACCCGAGACUCAGUGAAAUUGAACUCGCUGUGAAGAUGCAGUGUACCCGCGGCAAGACGGAAAGACCCCGUGAACCUUUACUAUAGCUUGACACUGAACAUUGAGCCUUGAUGUGUAG